rnacentral:rRNA from 1 species
UCUACGGGCGGCAGCAGUGGGGAAUAUUGGGCAAUGGGCGCAAGCCUGACCCAGCAACGCCGCGUGAAGGAAGAAGGCUUUCGGGUUGUAAACCUCUUUUAUAAGGGACGAACACAAUGACGGUACCUUAUGAAUAAGCCACGGCUAACUACGUGCCAGCAGCCGCGGUAAUA